rnacentral:lncRNA from 1 species
UCCUAGGGAAUGCUAUAACUUUUACAUUAAGAAAAGACCUACAUAUGCAGCAAUGCUGAGUUGUCCCAGGUCCCUGUAGAUGUCUGUCAGCAUUCCAUGCCUGUUCAAAUGAGGGCAUUUGGCCAAUUACUCCAUUUUUACACAAGAUAUAAAGCUAGGAGUGUGAUGUCAGUGAUGUGUACUGAAGAACAGAAGUCGUCAAGACAUUUACAGGUCUAAAAUCAAGAUGUUGG